rnacentral:tRNA from 1 species
GCAGUGGUGAUUCAGUGGUAGAAUUCUUGCCUUCCACACAGGAGACCCAGGUUUGAUUCCUGGCCAAUGCA